rnacentral:rRNA from 1 species
UACGAAGGGGGCUAGCGUUGCUCGGAAUCAUUGGGCGUAAAGGGUGCGUAGGCGGGUUUUUAAGUCAGGGGUGAAAUCCUGGAGCUCAACUCCAGAACUGCCUUUGAUACUGAAGAUCUUGAGUUCGGGAGAGGUGAGUGGAACUGCGAGUGUAGAGGUGAAAAUUCGUAGAUAUUCGCAAGAACACCAGUGGCGAAGGCGGCUCACUGGCCCGAUACUGACGCUGAGGCACGAAAGCGUGGGGAGCAAACAGG